rnacentral:rRNA from 1 species
CAGUCGCCACGGUAAUACGAAGGGUGCAAGCGUUAAUCGGAAUUACUGGGCGUAAAGCGUGCGUAGGCGGUUUGUUAAGUCUGCUGUGAAAUCCCCGGGCUCAACCUGGGAAUGGCAGUGGAUACUGGCAAGCUAGAGUGUGUCAGAGGAUGGUGGAAUUCCCGGUGUAGCGGUGAAAUGCGUAGAGAUCGGGAGGAACAUCAGUGGCGAAGGCGGCCAUCUGGGACAACACUGACGCUGAGGCACGAAAGCGUGGGGAGCAAACAGGAUUAGAGACCCCUGUAGUCCCUGUCUCUUAUAC